AGAAUGCUGUGGAAAAGUUUCUGAGAAGGGAGGGAAAUGGAGGGAAGUGAGACAUGACUAAGGUGUAGGUAAAAAGGAAUAAAGGUGUUCCCUGCUCAAAACUCUCAUGAAGAAAUUAAUGGAGAAGGAAAGCACAAAGCAUGCUGGAAAGAAAGCAAGAACUUGUUGUCAAGGAGCCUCUUGUUCAUGACUUAGGGGCUGAAUAUGUGCCCCCAUCUCCUAGACUGCAGCCCUGAAUUAGAGUUUCUUCAUUCAAUUAGUGGAAAACUCCAGUCUUCAAUCAAACCUAUCAGCCAAAGAGGUUAAAUUUCUGAGGGAAAAUGUCUGACUUCAUUUUUAGAGUCAAUCAACUUGGUACUACAUAUGCCUUCUAUGAGCUCCUUGCUGCUGAGUGAGAAUUCUGAGAUGUUAACCACCUUGCCCUGGCAUGGUGCCUUGCCUGGACAUGCUUUCUGGACAAAGCUUUUGUCCUCAGGAAGGAAACAUUCUUGAGCUGUCCUUUUGUUGAGUGCCCAAGAGGUUUUACACACUGGGUCAGAGCACUAUCCAGAUAGCUGAGAACGGUGCUUGCCUUUUCCCCCUGUUUCCUGUAGAGUAGAAAAAGAGCAAUUAACAAAGGGGAAUGGAGAAGAAGAACUGACAGAGGGAUCCUUGAGCAGAAUAAUCUUAGGGACAAAUACAGAUGGAAGUUAAGAAUCUAGAAAUGUAUUUUCUUAUAGCUAUCCAGGCUCUCUGGAAAAUAUUCCCAUGUCCAUAGGGAUAUAUAUGCCCAGUGAUGAUAAAUCUCUAAAGAAGACACGAAGAAAUAAGAGAAAGGAAAGAUGAGAGACAAGAUACCAACUCCCAAAGAAAAUUGCUGAGUUUCUCAACCCUUCAAGGGCCAUUUGAGAGCAACUUGGUGUUGUGCAAGUCACUGUAUGCAGUAUGCAGAGCAGAUAGAAUUUGCUGCGGGAUGUGAAGCUCACCAAGUGACCAAGGGAUCUAACUGGAACCAGCAGAGAAGAGCCCUUUAGAAGUAGAAGUGAGAGAAUGUUCCUAACUGAUUCACAGACACAGCACUUCCCAGCACUCCCAGUGAGCGCCAGAAAACCCGGGGGUCCAAACCUAAAAGACAGGGGACAUCAACAAGGCUGAGAUGAUCCAUUUUGCCCAAAGAUUUGUAAUCUCUUUAUGUGGGCUACCCAUACAAUGUCUGAAACAUGUUUUAUGGCAUUCUGUCAAAUUCUUUGUUGUAGGAUUGCUGGUUUUUCAGAUACCCUCAAGAGUCCUGAGAAAGUUGAACAGGCCACCUGGCAAGGCUCUGCAAAACUAAUUAGUGAGGGAAAGUAUUGAAAAAUCACUCAGAUGGCAGUGUGGCAAUUACAAACCAUUGAAAGUGUGAGGCAGAUGGUGAAGUUCGUAUGUUGUCUUACUUGUCAGUUCAACAAAACCACACCAAUUGCCCACCAUGUGCAAAGCACAACUAAUAAUGAAAAGGCAGGUAUGCAAAUUCAUAAAAUGCAAUACAGGAAGUCUGAUUUUACUGGACAAACAUUAUCAGCAUGAGCAAUUCACAAGUGUGACCCUGCCAUCUUAGCCGUCUAAUCUUCCACCACUGCUCAGCAUUUUCUCACUUCUGGACAUUCCUCAAACCCUUCCUCCACCUGAAUAUUCUACCGGGUCCUUGGCUUCCUCUUCCCAUGGGGGUGAAAUCAUGUGCAUGCUGCUUGACACAUAAACACAUCUGGUCACAUUAAUUCCAUGCACAUUGCUGUGGGUUCAUGCACCACACUGCAUCAUAUUUGUCUUCCUAUAUCCCCCAGCAGUUCAUGGAGAAUAACAUGUCAAGGACCAUGUCUUACUCUUCUUUAUACAUUGAAUGUUUGACAAUGUCUGACACACUGCUGGCGUAAUAGGAUCAAAUCCCACUUUCAAAGCCAAAUGAAGUGUGCCUGAUUGCCCCUUAAUCUUGAGGAUUCCUUUCCUCUUCUCCCACACCACUCUUGAUAUAUCUAAGGACUGCUCUCAAACACUGCAUAUAUGGUAGUUACUUGUGUAGUCUACUAAUCCAACUACACUCUUGGGAAAAAGAAAUAUAUUUUGCUUUUCUUUGUAACCUCCACAGCAUCCACCAGAAAAGGGAACAAGACCUUCUGCUUACAUAGCCCAAGCUAACAAAGCCAAGCAGCCCUUCCCACUGCUCCAAUCUUUGCCUGCACCUGUCUCUCCUAUGGUCACUAAAUUACAGCCACUUAGACUUCUGUUCUGACCCUUAAGCCCUGCUCAAACUCACUGGCAUCCCAGGGCCUUCACAAUUGUUGCUCUGUCUGACUGGAACAUCGGCCCCUUGCUCCUCAUAGCUCAGCUCUUUUGAUUCCUUCAACACUAAGCUUAAAUAGUAUUUCCUAAAGAAUCAUCCUCAACCAUUCUCACAUCAGUAGCCCUACCACAGGCUCAUCAUGUCUUUUAUAUCACCUGGCUUUUUUCUCUUGUUUAUUUAUUACUCGCAUGCUGCUCCCCUUAACACACACACACACACACACACUAGAAUGUAUGGUCAGCCAGGAGAGUCCUGGUCUGUCCAUUGUCACUGCUUUACCCCCAGUACAGUGCCUAGAAAAAAGUGGGUGUAUAAUAAAUAUUAUCAAUUGAAUAAAUAAAUUAUAAAAUAUUAGGUAAUUC